UACAGAGGGUGCAAGCGUUAAUCGGAAUUACUGGGCGUAAAGCGCGCGUAGGUGGUUUGUUAAGUUGGAUGUGAAAUCCCCGGGCUCAACCUGGGAACUGCAUUCAAAACUGACAAGCUAGAGUAUGGUAGAGGGUGGUGGAAUUUCCUGUGUAGCGGUGAAAUGCGUAGAUAUCGGAAGGAACAUCAGUGGCGAAAGCGACUUCCUGGACCAAUACUGACGCUCAUGUGCGAAAGCGUGGGGAGCAAACAGG
rnacentral:rRNA from 1 species